rnacentral:rRNA from 1 species
UGCGUAGGUGGUAGGGUAAGUCGGAUGUGAAAGCUCGGAGCUCAACUCCGAAAUGGCAUUGGAAACUACCCAACUAGAGGGUCGGAGGGGGGACGUGGAAUUCUUGGUGUAGCAGUGAAAUGCGUAGAUAUCAAGAGGAACACCAGUGGCGAAGGCGAGUCCCUGGACGACUCCUGACACUGAGGCACGAAAGCUAGGGGAGCAAACA